rnacentral:pre_miRNA from 1 species
UUCAUACUCUCUCCGUUCGGAAUUACUUGUCACAAAAAUGGAUGUAUCUACAACUAAAAUACAUCUAGAUACAUUCAUUUCUUAGACGAGUAAUUCCGAACGGAGGGAGUACUAU